CUGGAAUCAAAAGACCAGUCACACAGGAGGAUAAGGAUGGGCCAUGGCGUCAUUGGCAAAACUUGGCCGUUUUACAGGGAUGGGUUGGAUCCUCAGCCCUGAAAAGCCUCAGACUCUCCCUGUCAAAGCUUUUGCUGGACUGGCUGCCUCCCCAGAGUCUGACCAGGCAGAGGAUACGGUCAGCUAUGCGCUGGGCUCACUUGCUGUUUCUGAACAGGAGAAACAGCAGACUGACAGAGCCACGGCUGGACAGACAAAGAAUCCAUUCUGGUCAGCCUAUCGCAAGAACCGCAUCACAGCCAGCAAGUUGGGUGCAGUCUUGGCAGCAGUCAGGCGGAAGUCAGUCCCUCCUUCCCUGUUUAAAACCCUGCUUGGCCAGUAUAACUCGAAUGAAGGGUCUAAAACUGCUGCAACAAGACCAGCCAGAAGACCUGCAUCGUGUCUGCGCAGCCUGAGCGUCUGACGUCACUCCGGUGAGUGUUUUCCGUGUUGGUGAAGCUUGCUGAAGCCUGCGAGCGACUGAAGUGCUUGCUGUCUCUCUCU